UACGUAGGGUGCGAGCGUUAAUCGGAAUUACUGGGCGUAAAGCGUGCGCAGGCGGUUCGUUGUGUCCGAUGUGAAAGCCCCGGGCUUAACCUGGGAAUGGCAUUGGAAACUGGCGAGCUUGAGUGCGGCAGAGGGGGGUGGAAUUCCGCGUGUAGCAGUGAAAUGCGUAGAGAUGCGGAGGAACACCGAUGGCGAAGGCAGCCCCCUGGGUCAAGAUUGACGCUCAUGCACGAAAGCGUGGGGAGCAAACAGG
rnacentral:rRNA from 1 species